rnacentral:rRNA from 1 species
UACGUAGGAGACGAGCGUUGUCCGGAGUUACUGGGCGUAAAGGGUGCGUAGGCGGGUUGUUAAGUCAGGGGUGAAAUCCUGGAGCUCAACUCCAGAACUGCCUUUGAUACUGGCAACCUAGAGACUGGAAGAGGUUAGUGGAAUUCCCAGUGUGGAGGUGAAAUUCGUAGAUAUUGGGAAGAACACCAGUGGCGAAGGCGGCUAACUGGUCCAGCACUGACGCUGAGGUGCGAAAGCGUGGGGAGCAAACAGG